UACGGGGGGAGCAAGCGUUGUUCGGAUUUACUGGGCGUAAAGGGCGCGUAGGCGGCCUCUGCAAGUCGACUGUGAAAUCUCCGGGCUUAACCCGGAACGGUCAGCCGAUACUGCAGGGCUAGAGUGCAGAAGGGGCAACUGGAAUUCUUGGUGUAGCGGUGAAAUGCGUAGAUAUCAAGAGGAACACCUGAGGUGAAGACGGGUUGCUGGGCCAACACUGACGCUGAUGCGCGAAAGCGUGGGGAGCAAACAGG
rnacentral:rRNA from 1 species